UACGUAGGGUCCAAGCGUUAUCCGGAAUCACUGGGCGUAAAGCGUGCGUAGGCGGAUGUUUAAGUGAGAUGCGAAAUCUUGUGGCUCAACCAUAUAGACUGUAUCUCAUACUGGAUAUCUUGAGGAUGGCAGAGGCUAGUGGAAUUACCGGUGUAGCAGUGAAAUGCGUAGAGAUCGGUAGGAACACCAAUGGCGAAGGCAGCUAGCUGGGCCAUUUCUGACGCUAAGGCACGAAAGCGUGGGGAGCGAACAGG
rnacentral:misc_RNA from 1 species